rnacentral:rRNA from 1 species
UACGUAGGCAGCGAGCGUUGUUCGGAGUUACUGGGCGUAAAGGGUGUGUAGGCGGUUGUUUAAGUUUGGUGUGAAAUCUCCCGGCUCAACUGGGAGGGUGCGCCGAAUACUGAAUGACUAGAGUGCGGGAGAGGUGAGUGGAAUUCCUGGUGUAGUGGUGAAAUACGUAGAUAUCAGGAGGAACAUCGGUGGCGAAGGCGGCUCACUGGACCAGUACUGACACUGAGGAGCGAAAGCAUGGGGGAUCAAACAGG